rnacentral:rRNA from 1 species
AGAACGAACGCUGGCGGCAGGCCUAACACAUGCAAGUCGAACGCUCGUAGCAAUACGGGAGUGGCGCACGGGUGAGUAACGCGUGGGCACCUGCCCGGUGGUUUGGGAUAACCGUGGGAAACUGCGGCUAAUACCGGAUACGCCCCUAGGGGGAAAGAUUUAUCGCCAUCGGAUGGGCCCGCGUAGGAUUAGCUAGUUGGUGAGGUAACGGCUCGACCAAGGCGACGAUCCGUUAGCUGGUCUGAGAGGAUGAUCAGCCACACUGGGACUGAG